rfam:Oryza glaberrima chromosome 12 Oglab12_0269_1, whole genome shotgun sequence.
UUUAAGAGUAACUAUAAAUUUUUGUCUAACUUUGAUCAUCUGUCUUAUUUAAAAAAAUAUAUUAUUAUUAUUAUUAUGAGAUGAUAAAACAUAAAUAGUACUUUAUUCGUGACUUAUAUUUUUAAUUUUUUUAAAUAAGACGAACGAUCAAAAUUGGACGUGGAAAACCAUGGUUACACUUAAA